CACAGAAGAGUUGACUCACCAGAACUGACAGGCCAGCAGGAGGCUUUUCAGAGCGUCCUAGGAUGGAUUGGAGUCCUCCUCAGAGUGAGGCUGAGGAAUGUCUCUCAGGAGCUCCCCUCUACUCUGGGGUCGAGGUCCAAAGGCCCGUCUUUGGAGGCAAAUUUGGCGUGACGGUAGGGAAGAAAUGGAUCCCGGGGGAGCCCCCAGAUGUUAUAGUUAAAGCUUCCUCCCAGGGUUUCAUAAACUGACUUCCAGACCACUCACGUAUAAUCGAAUCAAGCCUUUAUUGAAGCGCACAGGUGGCGGCUGACCAGAACAUAAAGCUGUUCCCCUGAUCAGACUCGAACAAUUGAAAGGGCACUCCUUAAAAGCCUGAAAACGCAAAAGAGAUGUUCAGGGGGUCUAGUCAAUGCAAGCCAGCCAGGUUACAGAAGCGGGACAGUGCAGUCAAGUGGAGGGAAGCCUAACCACAGUUAGCCCAGACACCCCAGUUACAGAAACAGAACCCCGUUACCCUAGUUACAGAAACAAUGCCCCAUUAGGUAGUUCCGUGUUCUUAAAGGUUUCUAUAGCAAAAGAAAAAGAACAACUUGCCCCAGUCAUGACUCUUCUACUUGGCAUGGUUGUUUUACAGGAUGAAGUCAUAAAACAAAAUGGAGUCACAUUUGCUCCUACUACCACACUAGCAUCUUCCUUUGAUGCUUUCAGGGGUUAAAUCCACAUUAAAAGACAUUCUUCAAAAGAGCCUCGUUCUCUGUAAAGUGAAAGAACUGUGGCAGCUGUAAUGAAGCAAUUCUCAGCUGAGAGAACUCCUCCCUUUUACACGAAGGGACAUUAGAGAGAUGGAGAGGAAACCAGCGGCCACGAACAUUAGACUCCCAAGCGGUCCUACAAGCACGCGCACACAUGCAUCCAGCUUUAAAACACUACAAGCUAUACCCUUCCCUCCUCCGACUGGCUCCGGUUUGCCAAGAUAACGGUGCGGAUCGCGCCCGAGGUCUCUCCAGCGGCCACACCCAUCAAUUUCAGAGCGGUGGAACACACCUAGUACCAACAGGACCUCGCUGAUCUCGGAACUAAAGUGACGGUGUCUGUUUCCUGGCGGAGGGAGACACCGAUAUGCCACCCCGGCAAAGCCGACUUCCUGGAAGUCGUCUGGAGCAAUCAGAUCUAGAAGAAAUGUCCUCCAGAGCCAGCGUUUUCCUCUUUGCUGUCAGCAUCGAGCCGCUGACAGCACUCCGCUUUUCCCCCGCAUUCUACGGGAGCUGUCUCGUGCUCCAACCCUAACACAGGGCGCGGGUCUUAGGGAGGAUUCCGGUUCCCACGACCUGGACACACCGGAUCUUUGCGUCAAGACAAAAGGGCAUUCGUGUAUGGAAUGUCGCAGCGACGCAAAGGCCUUCGGGAAACGUGGUCUACAGCGGGAUACAAGCAGGAUCUGGGUGAUUCCAGGCCUGGUGGUGAGGUCCAGAAUGGACACCGGGCUGGAAUCCCAUCUGAGCGGUCUUACUCAGCUGGCUCCCCAGAACUUCUAGAAAAUCUCACACAAAAAAGGUUACAUCUUAUUAUGAUGCCUUCAAGGAAAUGUAGUCCGUAACUGGAAAAACUGCAAAAGGCUGCGGGGCAGGGUCUGGCUUUCUUUCAGAUAGAUCUACGACUAGGACGCAGUCGCCACGGUAACCAGGUUGCUGAACGUUUCCAGGGCCGGGGCUGGGGGUGAUACCUGCUUCACAGCCGUGAGUGUGUGUGUGUGUGUGUGUGUGUCUGUCUGCCUGCCUGCCUGCGUGUCUGUCCCAAUGUCCCCUGUGGGGGAAAAAAAGUGGGGAAAGACUGUGGCUGUCCUUGUGAAUGUGGUGCAUAUUAGCUUGAGUUUGAGACUGAGGUGGGAUAUUGGUCCAUUUGGGAUUGUGCAUGAGAGGGUCUUUGGGAAGGACAGAUGAGGCUGGAUACCUGAGGAAUUUUCAGGAAGCAGGCUUAUUUAAACUGCAGCGGUCCAGAGGGGCUAAUGCCUAAAAAUCUUUGGACUCUGAGUCUGGAAAUUCUUUUAGAUUUAUACUUAGUGGGGAUUGGGGGUUCACAUAACAGUUACUCUCUGUCCUGUAUUCUUAGGCUAGACCAUAAUUUCACGUUUUGUCUGCAAACCUGGCAUUACAAGAAAGAGAAAGCUUCAGACCACACUGAGCUUUCUGCAGUACUCAUGUGAAAUCCUGUUGACACUCUAAAAAUCUUUCUAGCCAGAAGAGAAUCUUAAUUAUGGCAAGGGUCUUUUGGGUGGGGGGUACCUGGUCUACUGUAUGACUAGCUUUGAGGAUGUUAUCAGACUUAGAAAGAAAGACAAUGAUAUUUGGGUUCUUACAGAAUUUUAUAAAUUACGUUGAGAAUUGACCUUUGGUGGUGAUUGUGGGAAAAGAAGUAUGUGAACAUAGUAUUGUGAGAAUGAGAGAAAUUGUUAAGAGUUAUCAUUAAAACUCUAAGCAUCAAUUUCCUCACCUUUAAGAUAAGAACAACAGUUGUAUGAGGCUUUAGAACAUUGCUGUUCAGUAGAAUAAAACUGGAUCCCAUUUUUUAAUAUCAGUGCUCUUCAGUACUGUAGCUACUAGUGAUAUCUGGCUAUUGAGAACCUGAAAAUGUGGCUAGUUUGACUAAGGAACUGGACUUUUAAUUUGAUUUAAUUCUAAUAAACCUAGAGUUAAACAGUGUGACUUGCAGUGUUACUAUUGGACAGUGCAACCUGGAACAUCAAUUUGCCUUAAAAAUUUGAAGGAGGUGAAAGUUAAAGUAAUUCACGUAGCAAAUAUUUGAAAAUUGAAAUGGGAAAGAGAUGAAAGGAAAUUCAAACUGAGCUUUAGUCUUUCUUUUUUUAAAAUUGAGGAAUAGAGAGCAUGCUACAGGGACACUGCUACAUCGAUGUUCAUAGCAGCACAAUUCACAAUAGCAAGACUGUGGAACCAACCUAGAUGCCCUUCAAUAGACGAAUGGAUAAAAAAAAUGUGGCAUUUAUACACAAUGGAGUAUUACUCUGCAUUAAAAAAUGACAAAAUCAUAGAAUUUGCAGGGAAAUGGAUGGCAUUAGAGCAGAUUAUGCUAAGUGAAGCUAGCCAAUCCCUAAAAAACAAAUGCCAAAUGUCUUCUUUGAUAUAAGGAGAGUAACUAAGAACAGAGUAGGGACGAAGAGCAUGAGAAGAAGAUUAACAUUAAACAGGGAUGAGAGGUGGGAGGGAAAGGGAGAGAGAAGGGAAAUUGCAUGGAAAUGGAAGGAGACCCUCAGGGUUAUACAAAAGUACAUACAAGAGGAAGUGAGGGGAAAGGGAAAAAUAAUACAAGGGGGAG
rnacentral:lncRNA from 1 species